rnacentral:rRNA from 1 species
CGGCAGUAACGGGUAACGAAGAAUUAGGGUUCGAUUCGGAGAGGGAGCAUGAGAAACGGCUACCACAUCUAAGGAAGGCAGCAGGCGCGUAAAUUACCCAAUCCUGACUCAGGGAGGUAGUGACAAGAAAUAGCAAACCGGGAACCUCAUGGUUUCACGGUAUUGCAAUGAGAACAAUUUAAAACCCUUAGCGAGAAUCAAGUGGAGGACAAGUCUGGUGCCAGCACCCGCGGUAAUUCCAGCUCCACUAGCGUAUAUUAAAGUUGUUGCAGUUAAAAAGCUCGUAGUUGAACCUCUGUCUGGGGCUAGUUUUGGCUUUGGUCAGGCUAGUUCUAGGCAUCCGCCUACAAGACUUAGAGGGCAUUCAGUUGUUCACUAGGAGGAGUAGGCAUUUUACUUUGAAAAAAUUAGAGUGUUUAAGGCAGGCAAUUGCCCGCAUAUAUUAGCAUGGAAUAAUAGAAUAGGACACUUUUCCAUUUCGUUGGUUAUUGGAAUCGUGUAAUGAUUAAUAGGGACAGUUGUGGGCAUUUGUAUUUAAUUGUCAGAGGUGAAAUUCUUGGAUUUAUUAAAGACAAACUAAUGCGAAAGCAUUUGCCAAGGAUGUUUUCAUUAAUCAAGAACGAAAGUUAGGGGAUCAAAGACGAUCAGAUACCGUCCUAGUCUUAACUAUAAACUAUUCCGACUCAAUGUUUGACUGGCUUAUAUAACCAGUUGAGCGUUGUAUGAGAAAUCAAAGUCUUUAGGUUCUGGGGGGAGUAUGGUUGCAAAGCUGAAACUUAAAGGAAUUGACGGAAGAGCACAACCAGGAGUGGAUUCUGCGGCUUAAUUUGACUCAACACGGGGAAACUUACCAGGUUAAAACAAUAGUGGGAUUGACAGUUUGAGAGCGCUUUCUUGAUUGGUUGGGUGGUGGUGCAUGGCCGUUCUUAGUUGGUGGAGUGAUUUGUUUGUUUAAUUGCGUUAACGAACGAGACCUUAACCUGCUUACUAGACUGGCGAUUAUCAAUCGUUAGCUCUUUUUAGAGGGACUUUGGUUGUUUUAACUCCAAGGAAGUUUGAGGCAAUAACAGGUCUGUGAUGCCCUUAGAUAUCCUGGGCCGCACGCGUCAUACAAUGACUAGUUCAGAAAGUUUUCUCCUGACCCGAAAGGGGAUGGGUAAUCUUGAUAAUACUAGUCGUGUUAGGGAUCGAUCUUUGCAAUUAUAGAUCUUGAACGAGGAAUUCCUAGUAAGUGCGGUUCACCAGACCGUACUGAUUACGUCCCUGCUCUUUGUACACACCGCCCGUCGCUUCUACCGAGUGGGUGGUCCGGUGAGAUAAUUG